AGAAGCUUCUGAGCGGCUAACAGGAAGUUGGCGUCUCACAGGCAAGCAAACACUUUGCUCGGCUAAAUGCUACGAGAGAAACUGUGGAUCAAAGACGUUAAACAGCCGUGGCCGCUGAGCCCGACUACGCUAAUGAGGUGGAACAAGGUCGUUCUGGUCCUUUGACUUGUCAGGAAAACCCACACAGCGACUGAGGCCUCAUCAGGAGUCCGUGUGAGCCUCCAAUCCCCCCCCAGGUUCCCUCACCACGACAACCAAGGACCCCUCAAAAACCUGAGGACCACAAGCAGGCGGAGAUCUUCUCGAAGGACGUCUUCUCUCAGACACUGGUUGGAGUCGAUUAGUAGUGAGUUUCCCACAGUGCAUCAGGGCUGGAGAUGCCCUCCCCCCCCCAACACCUGUCAGGUCGCACGCCAACCAAUCGCCAUCUGAGCUGUGUUCUCUGACGCCAUCAAACAGCUGCACAGGUAGAUGCACAGAGAGACUCAUGCAAUCCGAUUGUUAUAGAGGAGGCGUGUGCGUCACACCGCAUCAUGCUAACGGCGCUCUGCAGCAGUGGAAGCUCCCGUGAUGAAUCCCAUCCUCUCUCUCUCUCUGCAACCAGCCCGUAAUGAAGGUGCAGGUUGUUUUGCCUCAUGGCCCUGAUGGGAAAACGUCCUAAAAGCCCUCGACUUUGAAGCGAUGUCCCCUGUGUCUCCAGGGGGACGCUCGGGUGCCGCUCUUCUCCUUUCAUUUCCCUGAUGUGUUCAGGAUUUCGGGGGAAAUUACCAGCCGUCCUACUGAGGGCGAUUUGUCUGCCGCGGCUCGGCGGC
ensembl:lncRNA